rnacentral:rRNA from 1 species
GUGGGGAAUAUUGGACAAUGGGCGAAAGCCUGAUCCAGCCAUGCCGCGUGUGUGAAGAAGGUCUUCGGAUUGUAAAGCACUUUAAGUUGGGAGGAAGGGCAGUAAGUUAAUACCUUGCUGUUUUGACGUUACCAACAGAAUAAGCACCGGCUAACUUCGUGCCAGCAGCCGCGGUAAUACGAAGGGUGCAAGCGUUAAUCGGAAUUACUGGGCGUAAAGCGCGCGUAGGUGGUUUUGUAAGUUGGAGGUGAAAUCCCCGGGCUCAACCUGGGAACUGCCUCCAAAACUGCAUGACUAGAGUACGGUAGAGGGUAGUGGAAUUUCCUGUGUAGCGGUGAAAUGCGUAGAUAUAGGAAGGAACACCAGUGGCGAAGGCGACUACCUGGACUGAUACUGACACUGAGGUGCGAAAGCGUGGGGAGCAAACAGGAUUAGAAACCCUUGUAGUCA